GGGCGAAGCGGAUAGAGUUGACGAAACUGGUAGUAAUCAGUGCACAGUGCUGCCUGGCUGCGUUCGUGCUGCUUGGGUUUCCAAGGCGGACGUAGUCUUAGCUUGCUGGUAUUGCGCACGCUUUUACUGCUGGUAGUGCCGAUUGCCUCGGUUGCUCCUUCUGAACCGUUGAGUUGAGGCCCACUUCGGUGGUCACCUGCUUGAUGGGGAGGUUGUGUAGUGGCUGGGGUUCAUGAGUCCGGCCUUUGCGAGGGAUGCUUGUGUCUGCAUUCGAGGAAUCUUCUGGCAGGUCCAGGGUGAACUUGGGUGUUUGGUGCAGUGUAUACUUCGUUGGACUUGUUUUCGGCUUGAAAGUUGACCACCUAUCCGACCCGUCUUGAAACACGGACCAAGAAGUCUAGUAUGUGCGCGAGUCAGUGGGCGUUAACCCUAUUGGCGUAAUGAAAGUAAAGGGCGGCUUGCCGUCUGAUAUGUGACCCGUGACCCGUCGCGGUGCAACAUAGCC
rnacentral:rRNA from 1 species